AUGAACAAUGAAGAAACUGAGCUUUCCAAAAAAAUGAAACACGUACAUAAAGACAAACUACACUCAAUACGCCGAGCCAGCCAGGGGGAGACGAGCCUCUUGAUCAUUAACCAAGGCUCGGCGGAGGAAUUAAGUUGUUUGAUUCGUCGCUCCAGGCCUGGUGAAAUAGGUAGUAUUUCAUUUCAAUCCUUAGUGGGCUUCAGGCUGCCAAUAUCUGGGCUUUGAAGUGGUUUCACCCUCUGUGAUGUAACUGGAUCCCCGGUGCGAGGCCUGAAGAGGCUGUUUCUCAUACUCCCUUGUGCUCACACUAGUCACUGGUGGUUUGCAGCCGGGGAACCCGAUCUGACUGCCCCUCUGGUUUCCAGCAAUUCUCCCCAGGGUCUCUGUUUCCUUCACUAGAUGCUCUGAGAGAUUGGGGAUCAGUACAUUCUGCUUGUACGCGGGUGCCUGUGCGUUUGAGGAGGCAGGUGCUGAGGCAGGGGUUCAAGUGCUGUGAAUUUCAACCGAAAAUUUCACUCUGAUUUCACAGGGACUGUACUAACCCCCUCUUUUCCGGAUGGGGGUGGUUUAUCCACAUCGGCAAGGAGCUUAUUUGGCUCUUUAGUUUCCAUUAAGGACAGUAGCCUGAUGCUUUUCCUGGUUGAUUAUUGAAGGAAAUCAGUAUUUCAUUAAUCAGAAUCACUGUCCGUACUCCAAGGGUUUUCCAGAAGUUAUAAAAACCUAAACUCUCUCUGUCCAAUCUUUUACCACGGCCAGUUGUGAGAAAUUAUUUGUUUAAUUUUUUUUUUUUUUUUUUUUUUAGAGAAUGCACGAGUGGUGGGGGAGCAGAGAAUCCCAAGCAGGCCCCAGGCUCAGCACAAGAGCUGGUUGUGGGGCUCGAUCUCACGACCCCGAGAGAUUAUGACCUGAGCAGAAAGCAAGUGUGGGACCUUUCUUUUUUUUUCUUUUCUUUUCUUUUCUUUUUUUUCUUUCUUUUCUUUUCUUUUCUUUUCUUUUCCUUUUCUUUUCUUUUUUUUUAAAUGUGGGACUUUUGAUGGACUGAGCCACCCAGGUGCCCCGAGAAAGUUUUUAUCGAAGAUUUUCUGAAAGAGAGAAUCAGGCUUUCCACACCUUACUUUACCUUUGAGUAAAACCACAGCACCAGAAAGCUGUGUGCUGGGGAGAUAUCUUGGCGUCUUGCAAUCGAUACUUGCACUGAAUUUCACCCUGCGGUGGUCUCCAGCCUAUGCCAACCAAUGAUAUAGGGAAAGCUGUGUGAAACGUGUGAUAUUUAUUGUAGGGAAGUUUUUGAAAACGUUAUCUUAUACGCCACAGGGACAUUUUUAUCAGGUUAACAACAACAGGACAAACAAGCAAAGAGAUGCUCUCAUGUCUCAGCAUUAGGGAAAAUGUGCUUCUCCUGAGCUAUCUUAGGAAAAGCAAUUUCAUAGCAGAAUAUAUAUAUAUAUAUAUAUAUUUAUAUAUAAAUAUAUUUAUAUAUAAACAAUAUUUAUAUAUAUUUAUAUAUAAACAAUCUCAUUGGAUUGGUCCCUGCUGAUUUGAAAUUUUUCAUAGUUUGUACACGUGAUUUUGAUCUCCAAGUGACUGUGGCAUGUCUUGGAAUUUGUGCUCGUGGGACAUUCUUUUGCAAAAUGUCAAGAAGCUUUUGGCUUGUUUAAAAUCAUGGCCUCAAAAAAAAAAAAUAAAAAAAAUAAAAUCAUGGCCUCA
rnacentral:lncRNA from 12 species